rnacentral:rRNA from 1 species
UACAGAGGGGGCAAGCGUUGUUCGGAAUUACUGGGCGUAAAGGGCGCGUAGGCGGCCUUCUAAGUCGAACGUGAAAUCCCCGGGCUCAACCCGGGAACUGCGUCCGAUACUGGAAGGCUUGAAUCCGGGAGAGGGAUGCGGAAUUCCAGGUGUAGCGGUGAAAUGCGUAGAUAUCUGGAGGAACACCGGUGGCGAAGGCGGCAUCUUGGACCAUUACUGACACUGAAAAGCGAAAGCCAGGGGAGCAAACGGG